UACUUGCAGUAAACAUUAAGAGUGUGCCAACUCUCCUUCUACAUUUUUUUGCGUGAAAUAUUUUAACACAAAUACUAAAAAUAAGUUCUGUUCUGGAGCAUGUUACACCUAUGCAAAGUUUACUUCCCUCCGUUUAUUUUCUCUUCCUGAAAGCAUAAUCUUCUGUUUCUGUGCACUUGCUAGUAAAUGAUACAGUGAAAAUAAUUUUGUACUAAAAGAGGGAAGAAACUGUUCGUCGGAGUUCAGCUGUUCAGGAGAAAGAGACUUUGUUUUCGUGAUAAAAGCUUUAUGCUUUUGCAGUCAAUGAGUUUUUUUAAAUACCUUAUAGGAGUACUCAAAAACCUUACUGAGAUAAUUAGCAUCUGUGCUAAAAGCAAUCAAGGUCAAAGAAGAGACGUGGACAAAACAGGACAAGUUGGCGUCGCAUCUGUGUGUUUUCCAGGCUUUCCCAGGAAGCACUAGCAGCCUUGUAACUAGUGACAGUGAGUCCUGAGUGUUUUUGAUGAGUUACUGCUUCAGUAAUCUUUAUUCACCAAACGAGCAAGAUGCAAAGCAGCAGCAGCAGCGCAAGGGCUGUAGCUGUUGCGGUGGAUCCGUAAGCGUAGAUUCUGAUUGUGUACGACCUCGUCCCGCAGCCUCCCAGGGUUAUCUCCCUGCAGCAGUGCUGUAAGGAAGGGAGGAGGCGUUUUCCAACCC